GGCUGCAUGGUGGUGCAGUCAGUAGCACUAUUGCCUUGCAGUGAAGGGUCCUGGGUUCGACUCCCGGUCAGGUCU